GAGGAAUAUUGGUCAAUGGACGCAAGUCUGAACCAGCCAUGCCGCGUGCAGGAAGACGGCUCUAUGAGUUGUAAACUGCUUUUGUACGAGGGUAAACUCACCUACGUGUAGGUGACUGAAAGUAUCGUACGAAUAAGGAUCGGCUAACUCCGUGCCAGCAGCCGCGGUAAUACGGAGGAUUCAAGCGUUAUCCGGAUUUAUUGGGUUUAAAGGGUGCGUAGGCGGUUUGAUAAGUUAGAGGUGAAAUCCCGGGGCUUAACUCCGGAACUGCCUCUAAUACUGUUAGACUAGAGAGUAGUUGCGGUAGGCGGAAUGUAUGGUGUAGCGGUGAAAUGCUUAGAGAUCAUACAGAACACCGAUUGCGAAGGCAGCUUACCAAACUAUAUCUGACGUUGAGGCACGAAAGCGUGGGGAGCAAAC
rnacentral:rRNA from 1 species